rnacentral:rRNA from 1 species
UACGUAGGGGGCAAGCGUUGUCCGGAUUUAUUGGGCGUAAAGAGCGUGUAGGCGGCCUGAAAGGUCAGCUGUGAAAACUCGAGGCUCAACCUCGAGACGUCGGUUGAAACCAUCUGGCUAGAGUCCGGAAGAGGAGUGUGGAAUUCCCGGUGUAGCGGUGAGAUGCGCAGAUAUCGGGAAGAACACCCGUGGCGAAGGCGGCACUCUGGGACGGUACUGACGCUGAGACGCGAAAGCGUGGGGAGCGAACAGG